AUCCCUUGUCUCGAUUUUACAAUCCAAAUGAGGGGAUGCUUUUACCUAGAGCUGCAAAGCAACUGGAGGAUCUACUCCUGUGACUUGGAAAUUCCCCGAGGAAAAACUGGCUGAUUGUUUAAUGAACUGCUUUUUGACAGAACUGGCAAGGAGGGUAAUUCAGAAUGGCGAGGUUUGCUCAAUGAAAAAGCCACACUUGGAGGUUGACGGGGCAGGUGUCAAGAUCCGGGCACAGAGAAGAACCAGAGCUGAAGGGAGAAGAGAGGCUGGCCUAAAGGAGAAGUCCUGCAGCCAGGCCUGGAACCCGCGUGAGCACCCUUACUGCCGUAUCAUACCCUACACCCUCCUGCCCCACUGGGGCUAAGGGAAAAAUGUGCAUGUAUCUGUAAAGAACUCCCAGGUGCUGUUCUUGAACACGAGCAGGCACACUCCGAGUUCAGUGGGCUGGUUACGAGGCAAGUCAUGUGCCAGGAACUCGAUCUGCACCCACCCUACACCAGAGCCUCCUCUACAGUACCGCAUCUUAAAUCCUGACUCUGCCACUAACUGUAACUCCAUGGAUCACUCCUCUGUGUUUAUCCUCAUCUGUAAAAUGGGGAUGGAUAGCAGAAAGGCAUCUGGAACAGACCUGGGCUGAACAAGUAUUUGUAAUGCUAAUGUAACGCUAACACAGAAUGCUAAACAAGUAUUUGUAAAGUUAAUUUCCCCUAAAUUACACUUGGCUUUCUAUCAAGCACCUUGGUGUCUGUUCUUUCAAACAUUUGGGCUUUCUAAUUGAUUAAAAUCAAGCAAGAUGA